rnacentral:rRNA from 1 species
CUAGACUGCAAGUUGCUCUCUAAAUGAGCCGCGACCUCGCCCGGCUCUUCUUCCUCCUCUAGCUAGGGCUAAGCUGAUCUUCUCCCCCUUCGCCGGCCGCUCCACCCCCACCGGUCCAGCCCCCGCCAGAUUCCCGCCGCUGACAAGCCAAAGUUGCCUUGGAACUUUGAGCUCUUCAAGAUGCCUAGACGGACAGAAGAUGCUGAACCAAAAGAGUGCUUGGAGUUUGAUGAUAAUGAAGAGGAAGAGGUAGAAGAGGAAGAAAUUGAGUAUGAAGAAAUUGAGGAGGAGGUAGAGGAGGAGGUGGUGGAGGAGGAGGAGGAGGAGGAGGAGGAAGUGGAGGAGGUAGAGGAGGAGGAAGACCCUGAAGAAAGAGAAGUUCUUGAUGAAAUUGAUGCUAGUCAUGACAGUGACAGUAAAUCGGAAGUUGUCCCUCUUCCUCAGCAGGAUGGUGCCAAAGAUGGGAGCGAUAAAGAGAAGCAUGCCGAACUUCUUGCUCUUCCUCCUCAUGGAUCUGAAGUAUAUUUUGGGGGCAUCUCCAGCGAUGCAUCUUCUGACGAUCUCAAGAAACUAUGCGAGCCAGUUGGCGAAGUUGUGGAAGUUAGAAUAAUGCUGAGCAAGAAGGAUAGUAGGGGAUAUGCUUUUGUUACUUUCAGAACUAAUGACCUGGCUUUGAAGGCCAUCGAGAAAUUGAACAAGGCAACUUUCAAGGGAAAGAAGCUAAGAGUUUCUUCCUCCCAGGCUAAGAACAAGCUAUUUGUUGGAAAUAUACCUCACAGUUGGUCAUUCGAUGAUUUUAAAAAAGCAGUGGAAGAAGUUGGUCCUGGAGUAUUAAAAGUUGAUCUGAUUAAGGAUCCACGUACAGAUCGCAAUCGGGGUUAUGGUUUCGUUGAAUACUAUAAUAAUGCAUGCGCUGAGUAUUCAAGGCAGAAGAUGACUGCACCAAAUUUCAAACUAGAUACAAAUGCUCCUACUGUCAGCUGGGCAGAUCCUAAGAAUGGCGAUUCUGCCUCUACAGGCUCUACUUCACAGGUCAAAUCUGUAUAUGUCAAAAACCUGCCCAAGAAUGUUACUCAAGGGCAGCUGAAAAAGCUGUUUGAGCGCCAUGGUGAAAUCAUAAAAAUUGUUCUCCCCCCUUCAAAAGAUGGUCAUGAUAAUAGGUAUGGUUUUGUUCACUUUAAAGACCGCCACAUGGCCAUGAAGGCUGUGAAGAGCACAGAGAAAUAUGAGCUUGACGGUCAGCUCCUGGACUGCUCACUCGCAAAACCUCCUGCUGAUAAAAAAGACGAUACAGUAUCAUUGCCUACUGCCAAAGGAGGUCCGUUGCUGCAUGCUCCGCUUGGAUAUGGUAUGCCACGGCCAGAUCCUUAUGGUGCGCCUCCUGCUUAUAGUGCCCCUCCUGCUUAUGGUGCACCUCCUGCUUAUGGUGGACAGCCUCUGCUCUAUGCUCCAGGAGCUCCUCCAGGUGCAGCAAUGGUUCCAAUGCUUCUACCUGAUGGCCGUCUUGUAUAUGUUGUGCAACAGCCUGGAGCGCAGCAACAUUUCGCUUCCCCUCCGCCCCAGGUGCGGCAACAUCAGCAUUUCACGUCUCCUCCGCCACAGGCACGGCAAAUUGGACGCAGUGGUGGCAGCGGUGGCGGUGGAGGCAGUGGUGGAUCGAGUAGGUCCGGUUCCGGUACAAAGCGCCCAAGGGGAGAUGACAACAACAGCAGCAGUCGCAACCGACAACGCCGGUAUUGAUCGCAGGAGGUGUAUGGUGGUGCUUCGGUUCUAGCGCCAGCAAAUUGUGUAAUAAGUACUGUCGGAUUUUCCUACAAACCUGCUUAACCCGGUGAACUGUGAAACCCGCAUCACUAUUCGUUCGGAACUGUGUUAGGUCACCUCGAGGUAGUUUUGGUUUGUCUAGGCGUAAUUUCUUGUAAUGUGGAUCAAGUUUAGAAAUGGCAAGAACAGCAUCGGUGUCUGAUGUCUAGUAGUAUCCAUAGGCUGCAGUGCCAAGAAGAACCCAGAGCUGAUCGCAGAAUAACAGCAACUUCGGCUCGGAGAAUCCAAGAUCGGCAGCCCUCAAUUGGGAUGAGCUUGAGCUGGACCAGGUAGACCUUACUGACAUGGAGGGUGACUUCUCAUUCGAGGAGAUUAAGCGGGCGAUUGAUGACAUCCCUGCCGAAAAAGCGCCAGGACCUGAUGGUUUUUCAGGCGGUUUCUUCAAAUCGUGUUGGGAUACAAUCAAAGCCGACCUUUUCGAGGCGCUGAACCAGCUCUAUCACAUGGACAGCCGGGGCUUGAAUCGCAUAAACAGCUGACUCGCUCAAAGACUUCCUACCAAUCUCGCUAUUGCACAGCCUCAUCAAGAUCUUCACCAAAUUC